rnacentral:rRNA from 1 species
UACGUAGGGUGCAAGCGUUGUCCGGAAUUAUUGGGCGUAAAGAGCUCGUAGGCGGUUUGUCGCGUCUGCUGUGAAAACUCGGGGCUUAACCCCGGGCCUGCAGCCGAUACGGGCAGGCUAGAGUUCGGUAGGGGAGACUGGAAUUCCUGGUGUAGCGGUGAAAUGCGCAGAUAUCAGGAGGAACACCGAUGGCGAAGGCAGGUCUCUGGGCCGAUACUGACGCUGAGGAGCGAAAGCGUGGGGAGCGAACAGG